AGAGUUUGAUCAUGGCUCAGGAUGAACGCUAGCGGCAGGCCUAAUACAUGCAAGUCGAACGGGAUGGGGCCCUUCGGGGCCCUUGAGAGUGGCGCACGGGUGCGCAACGCGUAUGCAACCAACCCCCGACAGGCGGAUAGCCGGUGGAAACGCCGGAUAAUACGCCAUGGUUCCGCAGGGAGGCAUCUCCAGGCGGAUAAAGCUACGGCGGUCGGGGACGGGCAUGCGUCCCAUUAGAUGGUAGGCGGGGUGACGGCCCACCUAGUCCGCGAUGGUAGGGGAUCUGAGAGGACGGUCCCCCACACUGGUACUGAGACACGGACCAGACUCCUGCGGGAGGCAGCAGUAAGGGAUAUUGGUCAAUGGCCGGAAGGCUGAACCAGCCAAUGCCGCGUGAGGGAAUGAGGCCCUACGGGUCGUGAACCUCUUUUAUUCGGGGACAAGGACGCGGUCGCGAACCGUGUUUGAGGGUACCGAAGGAAUAAGCAUCGGCUAACUCCGUGCCAGCCGCCGC
rnacentral:rRNA from 1 species